rnacentral:misc_RNA from 1 species
UUAACUAUUAUAUAGUACUCAGACGACACUAAUAUUCAGGGUUUUGGGUCCUCUGGCGGGCGCGCACCAGCCGGGGCCGGUGGCAGGCGUGAGCCUGACGGCCCGCCAAAGCAACAAAGUAAUGAUAACACAGGGUGGGAGAUCUACCCGUAAGGGCAUGAACUCUGUAAUGAUCCCUCCGCAGGUUCACCUACGGAGA